UGUGAAGAUAGAGGUUGCGUGAUCUAUGAGUAGCCGGUCUGAUGUGGCAGGAACAGGAGACGACGGGUGAAAGGAGAGAACGCCGAAAGGGUAUGUUACCUGACAGGCAUAUUCCUUGGGCACUUGGCGAACAGCCAUUUGACUGUCAUCUGGCAACGGAUGGGGCGCUAUCAGAGGU
rfam:Roseburia sp. CAG:182 genomic scaffold, scf355